GUGAAGGGGAGGAAUAUAGAAGAUGUGGAGGGUUAGAGGAGGAAUAGAGAGAAGAUGAGGUGGAGAGUAGGAAUAGAGAAUAUGAGGAGGGAUAGAGAGAAGAUGAGGAGGGGGAGAGGAGGAAUAGAGAGAAGAUGAGGAGGAAUAGAGAAGAUGAGGAGGUGGAGAUGAAUAGAGAGAAGAUGAGGAGAUGGAGAGGAGGAAUAGAGAGAAGAUGAAGAAUAGAGAAAAUGAGGAGGUGGAGAGAGAUGGAGAGGAGGAAUAGAGAGAAGAUGAGGAGGAAUAGAGAGAAGAUGAGGUGGAGGGGAGGAAAAGAGAAGAUGAGGUGAAGGGGAGGAAUAUAGAAGAUGUGGAGGGUUAGAGGGGGAAUAGAGAGAGAUGAGGGGGAGAGGAGGAAUGGAGAAGAUGAGGAAUAGAGAGAAGGUUGAGGAAUAGAGAAGAUGAGGAGGAAAGAGAAGAUGAGGAGGAAUAGAGAGAAGGUGAGGAGGAAUAGAGAGAAGAUGAGGAGGGGGAGAAGAGGGAGAAGAGGAAUAGAUAUAGGUUCAGGAAGUGGAGAUGAGGAAUAGGGAGAAGAUGAAGAGGUGGAAAUGAGGAAUAGAGAGAAGAUGAGGAGGAAAAGAGAGAAGAUGAGGAGGUGGAGAGGAGGAAUAGAGAAGAUGAGGUGGAGAGAGAAGAUGUGGAUAAAUAGACAGAAGAUGAGGAUGAAUAGAGAGAAUGCAAGGAGGAUUUGAGAUAAAAUGAGGAUGUAGAGAGGAGGAAUAGAGAGAAGAUGAUGAGGAAUAGAGAGAAGAUGAGGAGGAAUAGAGAUGAGGAGCAAUAGAGAGAAGAUGAGGUGGAGAGGAGGAAUAGAGAGAUGAGGUGGAGAGGAGGAAUAGAGAGAGAGAAGAUGAGGAGGUGGAGAGGAGGAAUAGAGAGAAGAUGAGGGGGAGAGGAGGAAUAGAGAGAAGUUGAGGGGGAGAUGAGGAAUAGAGACAUGAUGAGGAGGUAGAGAAGAGGAAUAGAGUAGAUGAGGAGGUGGAGAGGGGUAAUGGAGAGAAUAUGAUGAGUAAUAGAGAGAAGAUGAGGAGGUGGACAGGAGGAAUAGAAAGAAGAUGAGGUGGAGAGGAUGAAGAGGUGGAGAGUAGGAAUAGAGAAUAUGAGGAGGGAUAGAGAGAAGAUGAGGUGGAGCGUAGGAAUAGAGAGAAGAUGAGGAAGUGGAAUAGCGACGAUGAUGAGAUGGAGGAUUAGAGAAGAUGAGGGGGAACAGAGAGAUGAUGAGGUGAGACGAGGAAUAGAGAGAAGAUGAGGAGGGAUGUGCGAGGUAGUAAUGCAUCAUCAUCAUGACUUACAUUUUAGUCAUUUAGCAGACGCUCUUAUCCAGAGCGACUUACAGUAGUGAAUGCAUACAUUUCAUAAAAAAAUUUUCCCCAUACUGGUCCCCCGUGGGAAUCGAACCCUGGCGUUGCAAACACCAUGCUCUACCAACUGAGCCACACAGGACUACGUCAUUGUAAAUAAUAAUUUGUUCUUAACUGACUUG
rnacentral:lncRNA from 1 species